rnacentral:rRNA from 1 species
AGAGUUUGAUCAUGGCUCAGAACGUACGCUGGCGGCACGCCUAAUACAUGCAAGUCGAACGAAGUAGCAAUACUUAGUGGCAGACGGGUGAGUAACAUGUGGGUAUCUUCCCUUUGGUGAGGAAUAACACGAGGAAACUUGUGCUAAUACCUCAUAAGUCUUUACGGAGAAAGCUUUAUGCGCCAUUGGAUGAGCCCGCACUUGAUUAGUUUGUUGGUGAGGUAAUGGCUUACCAAGACUUUGAUCAAUAGCUGAUUUGAGAGGAUGAUCAGCCACAUUGGGACUGAGACACGGCCCAAACUCCUACGGGAGGCAGCAGUAGGGAAUCUUGCACAAUGGAGGAAACUCUGAUGCAGCGAUGCCGCGUGAGUGAAGAAGGCCUUUGGGUUGUAAAGCUCUUUCGUCGGGGAAGAAAAUGACUGUACCCGAAUAAGAAGGUCCGGCUAACUUCGUGCCAGCAGCCGCGGUAAUACGAAGGGACCUAGCGUAGUUCGGAAUUACUGGGCUUAAAGAGUUCGUAGGUGGUUAAAAAAGUUGGUGGUGAAAGCCCAGAGCUUAACUCUGGAACUGCCAUCAAAACUUUUUAGCUAGAGUAUGAUAGAGGAAAGCAGAAUUUCUAGUGUAGAGGUGAAAUUCGUAGAUAUUAGAAAGAAUACCAAUUGCGAAGGCAGCUUUCUGGAUCAUUACUGACACUGAGGAACGAAAGCAUGGGUAGCGAAGAGGAUUAGAUACCCUCGUAGUCCAUGCCGUAAACGAUGUGUGUUAGAUGUUGGAAAUUUAUUUUCAGUAUCACAGCGAAAGCAAUAAACACACCGCCUGGGGAGUACGACCGCAAGGUUAAAACUCAAAU